rnacentral:rRNA from 1 species
GAUGAACGCUGGCGGCGUGCUUAACACAUGCAAGUCGAACGAAGCACCUUAUUUGAUUUCCCUCGGGACUGAUUAUUUUGUGACUGAGUGGCGGACGGGUGAGUAACGCGUGGGUAACCUGCCUUGUACAGGGGGGUAAAAGUUGGAAACGGCUGCUAAUACCGCAUAAGCGCACAGCAUCGCAUGAUGCAGUGGGAAAAACUCCGGUGGUAUAAGAUGGACCCGCGUUGGAUUAGCUAGUUGGUGAGGUAACGGCCCACCAAGGCGACGAUCCAUAGCCGACCUGAGAGGGUGACCGGCCACAUUGGGACUGAGACACGGCCCAAACUCCUACGGGAAGCAGCAGUGGGGAAUAUUGCACAAUGGGCGAAAGCCUGAUGCAGCGACGCCGCGUGAGCGAAGAAGUAUUUCGGUAUGUAAAGCUCUAUCAGCAGGGAAGAUAAUGACGGUACCUGACUAAGAAGCACCGGCUAAAUACGUG